GUUAUAUUAUGUUUCUGUUUUACCUUUUAAUGCAUCCUAUGUAGUUGAAUUAUCUACAGAUAGUACUCAUAAUUUAUAUAGACAUGAUAGAGGUUUAAACAAAAUGACAUUAUCCAAAGUAAGUGAAAUUUUAACAUACAAGGCGCAAAAUGAAAGCUACAAUUUGACAGCUUCCAGAAGUAAAUGUUCAAGACCGAUAAUACUUAACUGGUGAAUACUAAAUUUUAUAAAUCCUAUCUCGUUAUACAUGUUAUUGUUUAAAUAAAUUGUCUUUGUAACAAUGGUUCCAGGGAUUGGACAUACGAAAUAACAUUAUUAUAAUUAAGGACCGUCCUCAUCAUGAUAUACAGGUUAUAGAAAUAUAACCACAUACAGCAUUAGGGCUAAUUAACUCAAAAAAAUACAAGGUAUUAAAAACAAGUGUGCAGUAGUCAAAACUCACACGUUUCACUUGACUAAUUAACAGAUUUAUACUAGCAUAUAAAAAUGUUGAUGCAAUUGACUUAUUGCUUGUGAUUAAAAUACAGAUCGUGUGCCCAAACCUUGUUUACAUUGUACAAUGUAAAAGCUAUGCUUUACUGUUUGUUGUCGUAAUCAAUACACAGCCUAACGAAUUAGCAGCUUAGGUGAGUAUCAAUCUGGAAAAAAACUCAGAGUAACCCGAUAGGUCUUCAACAAAGUGAGUCGCAAUGGUCGCUUUGAGAGUUUUUAAAUCAAAGCCAGAAAUUUAGAACAAUAAAUGUUAACAAAUCUUAUAUUUAAAUUAAAUUUGAAGACUGACUCCGUUUAUAUUCCUAGUUUUUUAAGCAUUUUUAUGACAUAUUUUGAUUUUCAUUUUAUUCACUCAUAUAUAGGGCAUGUAGGGUUUAAGAUAU
rnacentral:lncRNA from 1 species